GUGGGGAAUUUUGGACAAUGGGCGCAAGCCUGAUCCAGCAAUGCCGCGUGCAGGAAGAAGGCCUUCGGGUUGUAAACUGCUUUUGUACGGAACGAAAAGGCUCUGGUUAAUACCCGGGGGUCAUGACGGUACCGUAAGAAUAAGCACCGGCUAACUACGUGCCAGCAGCCGCGGUAAUACGUAGGGUGCGAGCGUUAAUCGGAAUUACUGGGCGUAAAGCGUGCGCAGGCGGUGAUGUAAGACAGUUGUGAAAUCCCCGGGCUCAACCUGGGAACUGCAGCUGUGACUGCAUUGCUGGAGUGCGGCAGAGGGGGAUGGAAUUCCGCGUGUAGCAGUGAAAUGCGUAGAUAUGCGGAGGAACACCGAUGGCGAAGGCAAUCCCCUGGGCCUGCACUGACGCUCAUGCACGAAAGCGUGGGGAGCAAACAGGAUUAGAUACCCGUGUAGUCC
rnacentral:rRNA from 1 species